UACGUAGGGAGCAAGCGUUGUCCGGAAUCAUUGGGCGUAAAGCGCGCGUAGGCGGCCCGAUAAGUCCGCUGUGAAAGUCAACGGCUCAACUGUUGAAUGCCGGUGGAUACUGUCGGGCUAGAGUACGGAAGAGGCAAGUGGAAUUCCUGGUGUAGCGGUGAAAUGCGCAGAUAUCAGGAGGAACACCAAUGGCGAAGGCAGCACUCUGGGACGUGACUGACGCUGAGACGCGAAAGCGUGGGGAGCAAACAGG
rnacentral:rRNA from 1 species